rnacentral:rRNA from 1 species
UGGGGAAUAUUGCACAAUGGAGGGAACUCUGAUGCAGCGACGCCGCGUGAACGAAGAAGGCUUUCGAGUCGUAAGUUCUUUUAUAUGGGAAGAUAAUGACGGUACCAUAAGAAAAAGCCCCGGCUAACUACGUGCCAGCAGCCGCGGUAAUACGUAGGGGGCUAGCGUUGUCCGGAAUCACUGGGCGUAAAGGGUUCGCAGGCGGAAAUGCAAGUCAGGUGUAAAAGGCAGUAGCUUAACUACUGUAAGCAUUUGAAACUGCAUAUCUUGAGAAGAGUAGAGGUAAGUGGAAUUUUUAGUGUAGCGGUGAAAUGCGUAGAUAUUAAAAAGAAUACCGGUGGCGAAGGCGACUUACUGGGCUCAUUCUGACGCUGAGGAACGAAAGCGUGGGUAGCAAACAGG